UACGUAGGGUGCGAGCGUUGUUCGGAUUUACUGGGCGUAAAGGGCGCGUAGGCGGCGCGGUAAGUCACUUGUGAAAUCUCUGAGCUUAACUCAGAACGGCCAAGUGAUACUGCAGUGCUAGAGUGUGGAAGGGGCAAUCGGAAUUCUUGGUGUAGCGGUGAAAUGCGUAGAUAUCAAGAGGAACACCUGAGGUGAAGACGGGUUGCUGGGCCAACACUGACGCUGAUGCGCGAAAGCCAGGGGAGCAAACGGG
rnacentral:rRNA from 1 species